UCGCGGCUUAUCACCGGCAGUCUCCUUAGAGUGCCCAACUAAAUGCUGGCAACUAAUGGCGAGGGUUGCGCUCGUUGCGGGACUUAACCCAACAUCUCACGACACGAGCUGACGACAGCCAUGCAGCACCUGUCUCCAGGUUCCCGAAGGCACUCCCAUCUCUGGGAGCUUCCUGGCAUGUCAAGGGUAGGUAAGGUUUUUCGCGUUGCAUCGAAUUAAUCCACAUAAUCCACCGCUUGUGCGGGUCCCCGUCAAUUCCUUUGAGUUUUAACCUUGCGGCCGUACUCCCCAGGCGGUCAACUUCACGCGUUAGCUUCGUUACCAAGGAAUUGCUUCCCCGACAACCAGUUGACAUAGUUUAGGGCGUGGACUAC
rnacentral:misc_RNA from 1 species